rnacentral:rRNA from 2 species
GUGCUGAAGCAACAAAUGCCCUGCUUCCAGGAAAAGCCUCUAAGCAUCAGGUAACAUCAAAUCGUACCCCAAACCGACACAGGUGGUCAGGUAGAGAAUACCAAGGCGCUUGAGAGAACUCGGGUGAAGGAACUAGGCAAAAUGGUGCCGUAACUUCGGGAGAAGGCACGCUGACAUGUAGGUGAAGUGAUUUACUCAUGGAGCUGAAGUCAGUCGAAGAUACCAGCUGGCUGCAACUGUUUAUUAAAAACACAGCACUGUGCAAACACGAAAGUGGACGUAUACGGUGUGACGCCUGCCCGGUGCCGGAAGGUUAAUUGAUGGGGUCAGCGCAAGCGAAGCUCCUGAUCGAA